AGCGUGAGGGCGCACGGAGGUGUGGCUGGAGUUUGCAGCCUGGUGAUUGAAUGAAGCGCUGGGCGCCCUGCUGCAAUCAAGCUACGCGCUAGGCUAUUGGCUCUGGCGUGAGGCGCGCAGAGAUGACGUCGAGGAAAUCAUUUUGGUAGUUUAUUUUGUGUGGUGCUAAGUGACCUUUAAUCUUUGCUUUUGGCCCCCAUCGGUAAGGACAGCUAUUGAAAAGGUCAAAAAACUGCCAUUCAGAAGAAAGGAACAGAGCCAAGUAAUCGACAAAGUGUCUUCUCUCGAAAUGGAUGAAGUGGUGGAAAUAGAAGAUAUUGAAAGGAUUGGGUAUAAUAUAGUGCAGGAGCUUAAUGACUUAGGUUCAGUGGUAAAACAGGUAAUGUCAGGGAGUUGAAAGAGGUAACAGAUGUGCAAACCGGAUUGGCCAUCAAAUGGAAUUACUGCAGUAAAGUCACAGCAAGAGAAGACCUCACGGAAUGCAAAGCAAAGGGGAGGAGGCAUCAAGAUAAGACAACAGAAGAAAGGCCUAGAGGGUCCGGCCAGGAAAUGCAAUCUUUGAGGAAUAGGAGUACCUGAAACAGGACAAAGCAAACGGCGCUGCAACAAUAAUUAACGAGCUAAUUGAAAAAAAAAAUUUCUAGAGUUGAAAAACCAACUAGAGCUACAAGUGGAAAAAGCUCACAGGAUACCUUUAAAAUUUAACAAAAAUAAAGCGACUCCCAGACAUAUCCUAAUAACGCUUUUAAAUCUUGAGGAUAAAGAAAAAGUUUUACAAGUAUCCAGACAGAGAAAGCAGGUUACCUAAAAAGGGACAAAAUCAGGCUGACUUCAGAAUUUCCUUUUGCAACUCUAAAUGCCAGAAAACAAUGGAACAAUAUCUACAGAGUUUUAAGGGAAAAUAAUUUUGAGCCAAGAAUUAUAUACCCUGCUAAGUUGUUGUUUCUGUACAAAGGGAAUUGGAAGACAUUCUCAGGCAGGGCUUAACAAAGUAUGUCAACCAAGAGCCUUCCCUCAAAAAUUUGCUGAAUGAUUUACUGCAACCAACAGCGAACAGCAAUUGAAGUGAGUAGAGAGGCAAUUUUAUAGAAGAGUAAUGGUGACCAUUAAAACUAAUCAAAGAGCAUUAAGUAUAAAUUAUGUUAUGUUAGGGCUGUAAAACUAAAUAUAAAAAUAGACUUGUGAACUAUGUCAAAAAUUUCAGUUGAUAGAAUUUUAAACUGAAAAAGCAUGCCAAAUGUUCAAUAUAUUGAACAAAUACAUACUGUUUUAUGAUGUAGUGUUGUACAUAAAGAUAUGCAUGUUCUUAAUAAAAAUGAAAGAGCUUUGUCACUGGACAGGACAGGUAUAGUCAAGGCAUUCUAAAUAGUAAUCUGACAGAGUUAGAAAGUGCAGGUUCUGUUAUUUUUUUCUUAUAAAAGGGGAGAGGUACCAAAUUUGUCCAUGUUUAUAUUGGAAGUAUAAAAAGAAAACUAGUUGGAGAUGAGUUGGGUAAAAUUUUGUUCUGUGUACAUUUUGCUUGGGGAAAAACAAUAGCUACUUCCUUAUGUAAUGUUCAUCUAAGUCAAUAUAACAUCAAUGUGUUAGACAAAAAUAGAAUAUACAUAUACCCUGCAACUUUUUGAUUGAAGAAGAAAUGGUAAAAGACCAAGAAAAUACAGGAAAAGGAAAAUGGCAGGUGGCAUUUAAAUUGGUAUAAAAUACAUUGAGGUACAGAAGUUAUAAACUGGUUAUAAAUAUCUCAAUUAUCAGGUAGGGUCAAAAGUCAGAGUAACUAUGCAUACUGAAAUUGUAUAAAACCAUGAAUAAAAGUAAGGAUUGUGGGAACUAAGCCACAGAAAUAGAGAGCAACAUUUGUGUUAAUUCAAGCAUGUGACAAUUCAAGAUAUAACAUUAAGGAGAUUAUGUGGUAAAUGUGGCAUCCAUCUAAAACAAAUGUUCCACAGCUUGACAUGGGUGAUAGUUUUACUGAUGUAAACCAAUAGAUUUCAUUAACACUGUACACUUAAAAUUGCAUUUUAUGAACUAAAAAUUCAUUGAAUAUCUUGCAAAGAAGAGAACACCCAGCAAAAACUGUUGAACUCUAACUUCAACAUUUAUUUAAUAGUUAAAUGGAAGGCUAAAUGGGUACUUAAAUAAUGAAGAGAGAGUGUGUGAGUGUAAUGUAGAUUAUUUCAUUACCUUAAUUGCAUUUUUUCAUUUAGCCUGGAGAAAUUCUAAGUUAUUGUAUGCUAGAUUACAAAGAAUACUUGAGUAAUGUUCUAGAAAGCACAAAUGACCAUAUAACGAAACUAAGAGGUUUUGACACAGGAAAAAAAAAUGCAUACUUGGAAUUUUUUUUAAGAUUUUAUUUUAUUUUAUUUAUUUGAAAGAGUUACAGAGAGAGGUAGAGACAGAGAGAGAGUUCUUCCAUCCACUGGUUUACUCCCCAGAUGGCUGCAACGGCCGGAGCUACGCCAAUCCAAAGCCAGGAGCCAAGAGCUUCUUCUGGGUCUCCCAUGUGGGUGCAGGGGCUCAAGGACUUGGGCCAUCUUCUGCUGCUAUCCCAGGCCAUAGCAAAGAGCUGGAUUGGCAGAGGAGCAGCCAGGGGCUAGAACCGGCGACCAUAAGGGAUGCCGGCAUUUCAGACCAGGGCUUUAACCUGCUGAGUCACAGUGCUGGCCCCCCAUACUUGGAAUUUUUAAUGCUCUUAAGUAAUCUUUGGGUUAAAAAGAAAAGUAGUAAUGAUUUAGCAAGUGCAAUCAUGAGGGCAUUCUAUUUUACAUGUCAUGAGAUAGUUGAUAUAAACUAUCUCUACCCUGGAAUUUCAGUAAUAUUCUGUUUUAUUAUGUUUUAUGUGAAUAGAAUUUUUUUUUGGAGAACUUGAGACAUUUUGGAUUUCAUGUCUGGGUAAAAGUGAUGGAACAUAAUAAACCAUACUCUGAAUUAGAAAUUGGAGACAGAGAAGGAAGGCCCUGAGGAAAAAAGACAAUUAAAAAAAAAAAAAACAGAUUGGUUGAUUUAUUUGAAAGUGAGAGACAGCAAUGUCUUUCUUCAGCUGAUAUAUCCUCUGGAUGAUUGUUUAACAGCCAGAGUUGGGCCAGGCCAAAGCCAGGAACUUCAUCGGGGUCUCCCACAUGGGUGGAGGGGGCACAAACACAUGAGCCAUCUUCCACUGUUUUUCCUAGGCCAUUAGCCAGAAGCUGGGUUGGAAAUGGAGCAGCCCAGACAGGAACCACCAACCAUAGGCGAUGCUGACAGCAGCAGUGGCAGCUUUACCUACCACACCACAACACUGGCCCCAAUGAAAACCCAAUGAGAAACAAACUUUCAGAGGCAUUUGAUGUACCAUGGUGUACAUUUUGAAGUUUCAUGUAGGCAAUCUCCCUCUCUUCCAAAUAAAAUGAAAAUAAACAACCAAAAAUUGAAAAACAAAUUAAGUUUUACAAAGAUUGGAACUCUCCAGGAUAAAAGGGGAAUUCCUCCUACCUAACUUCCUUUUAAUUGUUUCAUUGUUUUGUUGUUUCAUUUUCCUGCUUUUGUACUUGAACUAAUAACGUUGGUUUGGUUCAUUCUGGCUGUGGAAUCUGAUGGCCUUCAGACUGGAACUCACUGUUGGCCUUCCCAAGUCUCUGGCUUACUGUUUAUAGAUCUGGGGAUUUCUCAGUCUCUAUCAAUUGUGAGAGCCAGUCUCAUACACAGACGUGCAUGAGGGAGUCUUCCAAAGAACUCAUGUAAAACAUGUAUUAUGAAAAUAAAAGAUGAGUUUAUUUUAGUACAAAAAUAUUUUGAAGGACUGGGGUUGUGGCACAGAGGGUUAAGCUACCACUUGCAACACUGGUAUCCCAUAUGGUCACCAGUUCCAAUCCUGGCUGCUGUACUUCCCUGCUACCUGGGAAAGCAGUGGAACAUGGCCCAGGCCCUUGGGCCAGCUACACAUGUGGGAGAUGCAGAUGGAGUACAAGGCUCCUGGCUUUGGCCUGACCCAGCAAAUGGAGGAUAUCUGUUUUUCCCUCUCUCUCUCUUACUCUGCCUUUCAAAUAAAUAAAUCUUUUAAAAAACAUUUUGAAAUGUAUGCAUAGUCUUUUCAUUAUAUACAUUUUACACAAACUUUUUGAAGUCCUGAUGUGUGUACGGAUUUCAAGAGUUUUUGCACCAAAAUAAACUUAUGUUUUAAUUCCAUUUCCACAAACACUGAAAUAUUAUAUGCAAACUUGUUAUAUUGGAUGUUGUCUGGCUGUCUUCUUUGACACACCUCCUCCUGCUUUUUCUCCCUUGUGUUUGCUGUUCUUAAUCUUAUCUCUCUGAAAUUUGCUGAGCCCCUUAGUGCUCUAUGCCAUGUCCAUUUUUCACUCUAUACACUUUCUACCAACUUCAACUCCCAUGGCUUCAAUUACUGCAUCUCUGUGACAAUUAGAUCUUUCUCCCAAGUUUCACAGUAUAUUGGAAUUUUCUAGAGAAACAGAACCAAUAUUUAAACAGACAUAUAAGGGACCUAUGGGAAUUGGCUCACACAAUUAUGGAGGCUGAGAAGCCCCACAAUAUAUAAUCUGCAAGCUGGAAAACCAGUGGUAUUCAGUUCCAGUCCAAAUGCCUGAAAACCCGGAAAUGAACCUCUGAGGACAGGGGAAGACAGAUGUCCCAGCUCAGGAAGAGUGAGCUUUCCUUCCUCUACCUUGUAGGUUUGGAUUACGCCAACCCAGCUUUCUGCUUAUGGCUGGGGAACAAAGUAGAAGAUGGCCCAGAGAGCUGGACCAGAAUAGGAGCAGCCAGGAAUGAACUGGCAGCCAGGUGGGAUGCUGGUGCUGGUGCCACAGGUGAGGACUUAGCCUACUACGCACAGCACUGACCCCACUGUAUUUCUUACAGUGCAGAAUUCUCUAAGGCCCUAUUCAAUGCAUACACAUGCUAUAAUCUUUCAAUCUUUAGCCUUUCUGGAUUUUAAUGCCUUGAAUUCUCCGACUCUUUUUGCCUUGGGAAUAGUAUCUCACCACUGGAAGAAUCUCAUCUGCUGUCAUUCUGUGCUAGCCUUAUCUACAGUCAUUCACCAUUAAUCCAUUUAUUCUUAUUAGAAACAUCCUAUUUUGCUUUAUUGUACCUGCACUUGUCUUCUAUUUCAUGCGUUUGAAUAUAAUGAAGCAUAAUCCAACUGGACCUGUCUUCCUCAUCUUUCAGUCUGUCUUCAUUAUUUAAUGUAGUACUUAGCACAUAGAAGUCAUUUAAUAAACAUUUUAAUGAAUCAAGUAGAUAAAGGAACAUUUUAGUUAUUUACAUACCUUAAAUUAUGCAGUUGUGGAGAUACUGACUAACAUUUUGUUCUCGAUAUUCCACAGACAUAACAUACCAGCUUUCAGUGGUUAUUAGGAGACUAAAAGACCUGAACUUGUCCCUGUGAUAAGCUUUUAACCAAUGGCUACCAUUAUACCAAUAGAAUACCAGUGAAUGCAGAGAACAUUUUAUAGAACUCUCUCUCUUUGUCUUAAAUUUCUAGUCUGCCUCUUCAUUUUUGUUUUCACAUACUUAAAGUAUUUUCAGUUACAUUUUAAAAUCUGUCAUUUUUUUCCUCUGUGCCCUUUGCCAGAUCCUUUUUCCUAAGUUGUUUCUCUUCUUCCUUUAUAAUAAGUAUGCAUUUUUCCCUUUCCUAACUCUAAAAAAUUAUUGGCAUUAAAAAGAAUACCAAAGUGGUGGAAACUGAUGUGGUGACUAUAGUAAAUUCAUACUCAGUAUCCCUUCCCCCUCUUCCCCUCCCCUCCCCUUGCCCUCUCCCUAGCAUCUUCUCCCUAGCAUUGAAAGAGGUUUCAGAGGGGUAGGAAUUUGGCACAGCAGUUGAGAUGCUACUUGGGAUGUCCCCAUCCCAUAUUAUAGUGCAUGGGUCCUGUCCUAACUCUGCUUCUGAGUCCAGCUUCCUGCUAAUGCCUACCCUGGAAGGCAGCAAGUGAUGGCUCAAGUCCUUGGGUCCCUGCCACUCACGUGGAGACCUGGAUUGAUUUCCAGGCUCCUGGCUGUGACCUGGUCCAGCCCUGCCUAUUGGGAUUUGGGGAGUAAGCCAGUCGAUGUUUCUCUCCCCUCCCCUCACUUUUAAAUACAUUUUAUAAUUCUUUUACAGUUCCAAAGACAUAGAUAUUUCAUUUCUUACAUUCUUUUGUAGGAUUCUGGUUACAAAUUGUUUCCAUCAGUUAGAAAAAAUGCCCAACCUUAAUUGAUAUAUUGAGAUGAACUCUUUUUUUUUCUGUUAUUUCAGAUGACAAUAUUGAUUAGGACACUUAUAAAGAUCUAAGUGGCACUGCAGCAGCAUUCCUGUGUCCAAUGCCUAAAGUCUCAUUUUUAAGGAUUUUCAUGAUCUCUGAUGAAUGUUACAUCAGUAUAUUCUUGAAGUCAUCAAGUUUCUGUAAUCACCUCUUUAUACCAUGACUUCCUAUUUUAAAUCAAAAUGAAUGUAAAGAUUUAAAAACAUCUUUUUUGAAUUAUUUUUAAUACAAAAUAAUUUACAAAUAAGAUCCUAUACAGAAGUCCAAUAUAUGAUACACAUUUUUUUUUGAAAAAUAAACCAAUGAGGCUGGCGCCGUGGUUCACUUGGCUAAUCCUCUGCCUGCAUCGCCGGUACUCCGGGUUCUAGUCCCAGUCGGGGUGCUGGAUUCUGUCCUGGUUGCUCCUCUUCCAGUCCAGCUCUCUGCUGUGGCCUGGGAAGGCAGUGGAGGAUGGCCCAAGUCCUGGGAGACCAGGAGGAAGCACCCAGCUCCUGGCUUCGGAUCGGCGCAGCGCACCAUCCAUAGUGGCCAUUUGGGGGUGAACUGAGGGAAGGAAGACCUUUCUCUCUCUGUUUUGCUUUCUCUGUCACUGUCUAACCCUGCCUGUCAAAAAAAAAAAAAAAAAAAAAAAAGAAAAAUGAACCAAUGAGACUGAGGGAAUGAUUCACAUGGAUUCCUACUAAUUCUUUGGAGUACUGGAGUCACCUUUGCAGAACCUUCAGGAGACUGGCUUGAAUAUCACCAGAUAAUCUAAGGUAGAAAUAGUAAUCUGGCUGAAUAUUAGAAUUAUCUAGAGUUUUGCUUUGAUUAGUUCUGCUUCUAAUACUAAUGUCCUGAUGUUUCUCCCAUCCAAAAAGUCUGCUAUUAGGACCAAGCAGGCUAAUUUCUAAAAUAAUGCGGCUCUAAUAAUAAUAAACUGCUAAUAAUAAUAAUAAGCAGCUAUAAUAGCCAUUUUCAUGAUUGAUUCUGAGCAUGCAUCUGUUCACUGAUUUCCCUUGAGGCCUUAAAUUGAGUCCUUCAUAUCAUUUUGGGUGCCUUUGUUUGUUUGUUUUUAAUCAAUCUACACUUUCUCUAUAGAAUGCCAGGAUUUUCAAAAGGUUUCAUAUUGCAUUAUAACUAUUUUGUAUGUUACCUAACUGGUGCAAAACCAGGGCUGCUUCCAAAACAAAUUAUUGAUUCUUGUUCUUUCUUAUGAGUUUGCUAUUCUCCAAUACAAGUUUGUAGAAUAAUAAUUUAAUGUUUAACAGAUGGCCCUGGUAUCAGAAUUGCAUUAUUUUAUAACUCUUGCCCUUACUAACUCUGCAUCUUACUAACUUCUUGGACAAGCUAGGGAACAAUGUUAGUAUUAAUGCAAAGAAAAAUCAUAAAGAUUGGUGGGGUGAUUAUUAUAAAAUUUUUACAUAGUGCCUAGCUCAGAGAAAGUGCUCGAAAUUGUUAAGCAUGUGGUUACAAAAUAUGUAAAUGAUUAUUGUUCAAUUUUUCUCUCCACAUAAAUAACUAACUUUUGAACCUUAGUAACCAAGUGUAGGUGGUUUUGUAUUCAGUCUACUUGCGUAUGUAUUAAGUACAUUUACUGUGAAAGAAACUGGAGAGACAGUCAUUAUUCCUAAUAUUCCCCAAGUGUUAGUGCUCUAAGAUGCUGUCAGUUGAAAAUGAAAACUAUCCACUACAAUGGAAACAGACAUCUUCAGGACUGACUGUGGUCCAAUAUUUGUUUGACCUAUCAAAACAGUGUGGCUAGUACCAGUGCUGUGGUGUAGCAGGUAAAGCUGCCACCUGCAGUGCUGGCAUACAAAUGGGUGUUGGUUCGAGUCCCAGCUGCUGCACUUCUGAUCCAGCUCUCUGCUAUGGCCUGGGAAAGCAAUAAAGAAUGGCCCAAGUCUUUGGGCCCCCUCACCCACAUGGGAGACCUGGAAGAAGCUCCUAGCUCCUAGCUUCAGAUUGGCCCAACUCUGGCUGCUGCCACCAUCUGGGGAAUGCACCAUCAGAUGGAAGACUUCUCUUGCUCUUUGCCUCUCCCUUUCUGUAACUCUGCCUUUAAAAUAAAUAAUAAAUAAAUCUUAAAGUAAAAAACAGUGUUGCUAUGUACAAGUAUAUUUGGUUGUGUUUUUUUUUCCAUUAGCCCCCAAACAUUUUGAAAAUCAGAAAAAAAUUUCACAUAAGAAAAGAACUUGUACCUUCUCUUUGAACCUGAGAUCUGGUAAAGGUGUUGUUCAUUUGGGGCAUGUUUUCUGCAGUUACCUACAUCCUGCUGUCCUCUUCUGUCUCAUCGCUGAGGCCAAUUCAGUUGCUGCUUACAGGGAACUCACACAGUUGGUUUUCUUUUAGUGCAGUUGAAGUGAAUUGUUUUCAUAUCCAUUGAUUUCAAAGAUAGGAAAAUAAAUGUGGGUCAAGGACACACAUGACAAGAAAAAUAGGAGAAAGCAUAAUUAAGAAAAUAAAGCACACUCUUUGUAUCUACAUGUGUAUUUACAUCAAAAUAAAUAUAUAGUACCACACAACAAAACUCCAAGUCAGAAUUUACUAAUAUAUUUUCAGUUUUAGGAAGGAAUUAGGUUUGUCUUGCAUCUUGUUAGAUCAUCUUUACCCUGUGUGUGUGUGUUUUUAAGAUUUUGAAAAAAUAUUUGUCCCUUUGGGACUGGCUUAUUUCACUAAGUAUGAUAUUUUCCAGAUUCAUCCAUUUUGUUGCAAAUGACUGGAUUUCAUUUUUUUUACCACUGUGUACUAUUCCAUAGUGUACAUAUCUCAUAAUUUCUUUAUCCAUUCUUUGGUUGUCGGGCAUUUAGGUUGAUUUCAUUUGUUAUUUAUUGUGAAUUGUGCUGCAAUAAACAUGGGGGUGCAGAUAACUGUUUUCUUAACUGAUUUCAUUUUCCUUGGGUAAAUUCCCAGGAUUGGAUGCCUAGGUCAUAUGGGAGGUCUAUAUUUAGGUUUCUGAGGUAUCUCCAUGCUGUCUUUUAUAGUGGCUUUACCAGUUUACUUUCCCACCAAUAGUGGAUUAGGGUACCUUUUACCAUACAUCCUGGCCAGCAUUUGUUGUUUGUGGAUUUCUCUAUGAAAGCCAUUCUAACUGGGGUGAGGUGACACCUCACUGUGGUUUUGAUUUGCAUUUCCCUGAGAGCUAGAGAUCCUGAACAAUUUUUAUGUGUCUGUUGGCCAUUUGGAUUUCCUUUUUUGAAAAAUGUCUGUUUAAGUCCUUGGCCCAUGCCUUAACUGAGUUGUUUGUUUUGUUGUUGUGUGGUUUCUUGAUCUCAUUGUAUCUUCUGGUUAAAAUACUAUAUCAGUUGCAUAGUUUUAAAAUAAUUUCUCACAUUCUGUCAGUUGUCUCUUCACCUUCCUGAGUGUUUCUUUUGCAGUACAGAAACUUCUCAAUUUGAUGUAAUCCCAUUUGUCAAUUUUGGCUUUGGUUACCUGUGCCUCUGGGGUCUUUUCCAAAAACUCUUUGUGCCAAAGUCUUGCAAGGUUUACCCAGUGUUCUCUAAUAAUUUCAGUGUUGCCUGGCUGUAGAUUUAGAUCUUUAAUCCAUGUUGAAUGGAUUUCUGUGUAAGAUGUAAGGUAGGGGUCUUGCUUCAUACUUCUGCAUGUGGAAACCCAGUUUUCCCAGCACCAUUUGCUGAAAAGACUGUUCUUGCUCCAGGGAUUGGUUUUAGCUUUUUAGUCAAAUAUAAGUUGGUUGUAGAUGCUUGUAUUGAUUUCUGGUGUUUUCUAUUCUGUUCCAUUGGUUUAUCCAUCUGUUUUUGUACCAGACCAGGCUGUUUUGAUUAUAACUGCCUUGUAGUAUAUCUUGAAAUCUGGUAUUAUGAUGGCUAUGGCUUUGUUUUUGUUGUGUAAGAUUGCUUUAGCCAUUUGAGUUCUUCUUAGUUACCAUAUGAAUUUCAGCAUCAUUUUUUUUCUAUAUCUUAGAAGAAGGUCUUGACUAUUUUCAUUGGUAUUGCUUUGAAUCUGUAAAUUGUUCUUGGAAGAAUGGACAUUUUGAUGAUAUUAAUUUUUCCAAUCCAUGAACAUAGAAGAUUUUUUUUAUUUUUUUUGUAUCUUCUAUUUCUUUCUCAUCAUGGAGAUCUUUGACAUCUUUUGUUAAGUUUAUUCCAAGGUAUUUGAUUUUUUUGGUAGCUAUUUUAAAUGAAAUUGAUCUUAGACGUUCUUUCUCAACCAUGGCAUUGUCUGUGUAAUCAAAGGCUGUUGAUUUUUGUGUAUUGAUUUUAUAUCCUGCUACUUUCCCAAACUCUUUUACGAGUUCUAAUAGUCUCUUCGUGGAGUUCUUUGGAUUCCCUAAAUAAAGAAUCAUGUUGUCUGCAAAUAGGGAUAGUUUGACUUCUUCCUUCCUAAUUUGUAUCCCUUUGAUUUCUCUUUCUUGCCUAAUGGUUCUGGCUAAAAUUUCCAGGACUAUAUUGAAUAGCAAUGGUGAGAAUGGGUAUCCCUGUCUGGUACCAGAUCUCAGUGGGAAUGCUUCCAGCUUUUCCCCACUCAAAAGGACACUGUCCAUAGGUUUGUCAUAAAUUGCCUUGAUUGUGCUUGAAGAAUGUCUCUUCUAUACCCAAUUUGCUUAGAGUUUUCAUCAUGAAAGGGUGUUGUAUUUUAUCAGAAGCUUUCUCUGCAUCUAUUGAGAUAAUCAUGUGAUUUUUUUUUUUUGUUCAGGUUGUUAAUGCGAUGUAUUAAAUUGAUUGAUUUGUUACAUUUCUUUUUCAUCUCUAAUUUUAUUGAUUUGGGUCUUCUCUCUCCUUUUUUGGUUAGUUGGGCCAAUGGUGUGUCAAUUUUUUUUUUUUUUUCAAAAAUCCAGCUCUUGGGGCCAGUGCUGUGGCUCACUUGGUUAAUCCUCCACCUGCGGUACUGGCAUCCCAUAUGGGCCGGGUUCUAGUCCCGGUUGCUCCUCUUCCAGUCCAGCUCUCUGCUUUGGCCCAGGAGGGCAGUGGAGGAUGGCCCAAGUGCUUGGGCCCCUGUGCCCACGUGGGAGACCAGGAGGAAGCACCUGGCUCCUGGCUUCGGAUUAGAGCAUUACUGGCCGUAGCAGCCAUUUGAGGAUGAACCAAUGGAAGGAAGACAUUUCUCUCUGUCUCUCUCUUUCUCACUGUCUAUCUGUCAAAUAAAAAAAAAAUAAUAAUAAAAUCCAGCUCUUCAUUUAGCUUAUCUUUUAUAUUUUUUUCAAUUUUGUUGAUUUUUUUUUCUUUAAUUUUAAUUAUUUCUUUUCUCCUAUUAGUUUCGCAUUUGGUUUGCUUUUCCUUUUUUUAGAGCCUUGACAUGCAUUGAUAGCUCAUUUAUUUGGUGCCUAAUUUCUUGAUGUAGGCACCAAUUGUAAAUUUUCCUCUUAACACUGCUUUUGCUGUAUCCCAUAGGUUCUGAUAUGUUAUGUUGUCAUCUUCAUUUGUUUACAGAAAUUUUUUGAUUUCUCUUUUGAUUUCUUCCAAGGUCCGCUGUUUUUCAGGAACAUGUUGUUCAGUCUCCAUGUGUUUGCAUAUGCUUAGAGACUCCUGAGUUGCUGAUGUCCAACUUCAUUCCACUGUUAUCAGAGAAGAUGCAUGGUAUUAUUUUGAUUUUUUGAAUUUUCUGUGAUUUGCUUUAUGGCCUAGUAUGUUGUCAAUCCUAGAGAAAGUUCCAUGCACUGGAAAGAAGAAUGUAUAUUCUGCAACUGUAGGAUGAAAAAUUCUGUAGAUGUCUGUUAGGUCCAUUUGGUCUUUAGAGUCAAUUAAUUCUGUUGUUUCCUUGCUGAUAUUCUGUCUGGUUGAUCUGUCCAUUGCUGAAAGUGGGGUGGUAUUGAAGUCCCCCAUUAUUAUUGUAUGGGAGUCUAUGUCUCCCUGU